rnacentral:rRNA from 1 species
AUUACGGGAGGCAGCAGUGGGGAAUAUUGGACAAUGGGCCACAAGCCUGAUCCAGCAAUUCUGUGUGCACGAUGAAGGUCUUCGGAUCGUAAAGUGCUUUCAGUUGGGAAGAAGAAAGUGACGGUACCAACAGAAGAAGCGACGGCUAAAUACGUGCCAGCAGCCGCGGUAUAAUH